rnacentral:rRNA from 1 species
GAUGAACGCUAGCUACAGGCUUAACACAUGCAAGUCGAGGGGCAGCAUGGUCUUAGCUUGCUAAGGCCGAUGGCGACCGGCGCACGGGUGAGUAACACGUAUCCAACCUGCCGUCUACUCUUGGACAGCCUUCUGGAAGGAAGAUUAAUACAAGAUGGCAUCAUGAGUCCGCAUGUUCACAUGAUUAAAGGUAUUCCGGUAGACGAUGGGGAUGCGUUCCAUUAGAUAGUAGGCGGGGUAACGGCCCACCUAGUCUUCGAUGGAUAGGGGUUCUGAGAGGAAGGUCCCCCACAUUGGAACUGAGACACGGUCCAAACUCCUACGGGAGGCAGCAGUGAGGAAUAUUGGUCAAUGGGCGAGAGCCUGAACCAGCCAAGUAGCGUGAAGGAUGACUGCCCUAUGGGUUGUAAACUUCUUUUAUAAAGGAAUAAAGUCGGGUAUGGAUACCCGUUUGCAUGUACUUUAUGAAUAAGGAUCGGCUAACUCCGUGCCAGCAGCCGCGGUAAUACGGAGGAUCCGAGCGUUAUCCGGAUUUAUUGGGUUUAAAGGGAGCGUAGAUGGAUGUUUAAGUCAGUUGUGAAAGUUUGCGGCUCAACCGUAAAAUUGCAGUUGAUACUGGAUAUCUUGAGUGCAGUUGAGGCAGGCGGAAUUCGUGGUGUAGCGGUGAAAUGCUUAGAUAUCACGAAGAACUCCGAUUGCGAAGGCAGCCUGCUAAGCUGCAACUGACAUUGAGGCUCGAAAGUGUGGGUAUCAAACAGGAUUAGAUACCCUGGUAGUCCACACGGUAAACGAUGAAUACUCGCUGUUUGCGAUAUACUGCAAGCGGCCAAGCGAAAGCGUUAAGUAUUCCACCUGGGGAGUACGCCGGCAACGGUGAAACUCAAAGGAAUUGACGGGGGCCCGCACAAGCGGAGGAACAUGUGGUUUAAUUCGAUGAUACGCGAGGAACCUUACCCGGGCUUAAAUUGCAGAUGAAUUACGGUGAAAGCCGUAAGCCGCACGGCAUCUGUGAAGGUGCUGCAUGGUUGUCGUCAGCUCGUGCCGUGAGGUGUCGGCUUAAGUGCCAUAACGAGCGCAACCCUUGUUGUCAGUUACUAACAGGUUCCGCUGAGGACUCUGACAAGACUGCCAUCGUAAGAUGUGAGGAAGGUGGGGAUGACGUCAAAUCAGCACGGCCCUUACGUCCGGGGCUACACACGUGUUACAAUGGGGGGUACAGAGGGCCGCUACCACGCGAGUGGAUGCCAAUCCCCAAAACCUCUCUCAGUUCGGACUGGAGUCUGCAACCCGACUCCACGAAGCUGGAUUCGCUAGUAAUCGCGCAUCAGCCACGGCGCGGUGAAUACGUUCCCGGGCCU